rnacentral:tRNA from 1 species
GCGCCUGUAGCUCAACUGGAUAGAGCGCAAGCUUCCGGAGCUUGAGGCCAGAGGUUCGAUUCCUCUCAGGCGCACCA